AGCAGCCGCGGUAAUUCCAGCUCCAAUAGCGUAUAUUAAAGUUGUUGCAGUUAAAAAGCUCGUAGUUGAAUUUCGGGAUUAGUGCGCCGGUCGUGCCUUCGGUAUGUACUGGUGUUACUGAUUCCUACCUUCUGACGAACCGUCAUGUCAUUAAUUUGGUGUGGCGGGGAAUCAGGACUGUUACUUUGAAAAGAUUAGAGUGUUUAAAGCAGGCUCGCGCUUGAAUACAUUAGCAUGGAAUAAUGAAAUAGGACGUUCGAUCCUAUUUUGUUGGUUUCUAGGAUUGACGUAAUGAUUAAUAGGGAUAGUUGGGGGCAUUAGUAUUCAAUUGUCAGAGGUGAAAUUCUUGGAUUUGUUGAAGACUAACUACUGCGAAAGCAUUUGCCAAGGAUGUUUUCAUUAAUCAAGAACGAAAGUUAGGGGAUCGAAGACGAUCAGAUACCGUCGUAGUCUUAACCAUAAACUAUGCCGACUAGGGAUCGGAUGAUGUUAUUUUUAAUGGCUCA
rnacentral:rRNA from 1 species